UGGAGAGGUGUAAUGCCUCGUAACUUGU
rnacentral:guide_RNA from 1 species